rnacentral:lncRNA from 1 species
GUGUGAAUCAUGGCAGUGCAGUGAAGGACGGUGAUUUACCGCUUUUGAGGGCAUGCAUGUAUAUGAUUAAGGGAUGGAGGUGAAGGACUCCAAGAUUUACUUCCUUCCCUUUCCAGCAGAGUUACCUGAGAGGAGUGAGUAAUGGGAUCAUUGGUAACACCACCGGCCCCUUUUCAAGAGACCAGUAAUCAAAACAGGAACACCAAACUGAGAAGAUUUCAGCUGGGAGAAUACAACUUUUGAUACUUUCUGGAUCUACCUCUUAGCACACAGGAGAGUCUUCAGAGUUUUCCUGUUUUAUUUUUUCAUGGAGAUUUUCGUUAAAAAGAUACUUCGGGUUUGACGUGACUAUCUUGGUGGUGGCAGUAGACUUCUCAUAUUAGAGAUAUGAUAAAAUGGUGAAAAGUUCCAAGCUCGUCCUCCUCUCCCAUCUAUGCCAGGUAAAAUCUGCUGGUGGAGUCACUCCAUUAUUCUUACCCAUGGAGAGGUAGAUCUUGAUUUGAAAGUUUCUGAGAAAAUCUUCAGCUCAGACUUGAGGUCAACUUUACCAACUGAAGGAUCUGCAUUUGCUGCUUCAACCAUGUCUAAUUUGAUGCCGUCUGCAGAUUUAAAACGUGUGCCUUCUUUUCCAUCACCAAGCCAUCCCUGCAUUACGACUGAACAUCCUUCUCAAUCGCCCCCGAUCCAUGAGUGGCUGUUCUCCGUUGUGUAUUUCACCAGAUGUCCUCAAAGCAGACAGACAGAAAAAGGAAGUGGCUCAUGGUAAGAGUUUUUUCUCCUUCUUAGAAAAUUUUUAAUGCAUUUACUUUGAAGUGCUGGAGAGGUGAGGUUUUUCUUGUAAGUAGGUAAUAUGAGUGUAGUUCAAACAUUUUGUUUUUAGUAUAUGAAAAUUUUAGGAAAGUUUCAUUGGGUCCAUUCAUAGUGACGAAUCAGACGAUGAAAGGGUACAGUACAGACAACUUUUGCAAAUGCUCAGUACAACAUUCUUCUGGUUUCAGACCCCAGUGCUCUUUACCUGUCACUCUGAACAUGACCCACCCACACAUGAAACUCAGUAGAGCCAGAGGCAAACUCUUUCUAUUUUAUCAUUUUUUUCCUUUGAGUUUUUGGUUCAGAUAUUGUUGUUCUCAUUUCCCCGCUGUCCCCUGCUCCCCAAUCACCCAUUCCCAAGCAGUUUGCCAUGUCUUCCAAAUAUUUCUCUAAUCCACUCACAUCUUCUUCUUCUCCUUUCUGGCCCUGAUCAUCUCUAGCCUGACUGGUUCCGUCACCUUCUUUUUUUUUUUUUUUUUUUUUUUUGAGAUGGAGUUUGGAAGUUUCGCUCUUGUUGCCCAGGCUGGAGUGCAAUGGCGUGAUCUCAGCUCACCACAACCUCUGCCUCCCGGGUUCAAGUGAUUCUCCUGCCUCAGCCUCCCAAGUAGCUGGGAUCACAGGCAUGUGCCACCAUGCCCAGCUAAUUUUGUACUGUUAGUAGAGAUGGGAUUUCUCUGUGUUGGUCAGGCUGGUCUCGAACUCCUGACCUCAGGUGAUUCACCCACCUCGGCCUCCCAAAGUGCUGGGAUUACAGGCGUGAACCACUGUGCCCGGCCUCAAUCACCUUCUUACUUGGCUGUUUAUUUACCAUGGACACUCCUUACUGCUCCCACCCUUCUGAAGUGGAUCUCCUUGUGUUAUUUUUGUUAUUGACUGAAGAGCAUAUUUUAAGAUUUUCAGCAUUUCGUGCCCCGUCUUUCUCUUUGCCAUAAUCUUUCCACACCCGUAUUCACUGAUGUCUUUGAUUUGGUGGUCUGGUUCUGGUCCAGUUAAUGAAUCAGUGCUGAUUGAGACAGGGUACUUGUAAACAUUUCCCAUUCUCCCUUCAUCUCUUCCCCUAGCCAGUGGGCACUUACGGUUAAAAUGACUCUCCCACCAGAAGUACAGUGGCCCAGUGAUGACCUCUGAGUUGCUGCGUCUCUCCCAUUGUUCCCACUGCCAUUCAGACCCAGUUCCCUUCCCCGACGUGUUGUCAUUUGGUGGCUUCUAUUUAUAGUUCUUCCACCCACCUCGUAUUAACCUAGCCUAGGAUCAUACCUGGGUUUCGCUCCUAAAUUUUGACUGGUACUCAGCGUAAUAAUCUUGUCUUCCUCUGAGGUGGCAGCUUAGACUUCAGUUUCUUCUAGACAGUUGGGGUGUCUUCCAUCUGAAUUCUUCUUCGUUUUUUAAGAUGGGGUCUUGCUCUGGUUGCCCAGGCUGGAGUGCAGUGGUGCAGUCCUGGCUCACUGCAGCCCGGAACUCAUGGGCCCCUGCAGUCCUCCUCCCUCAGCCUCCUAAGUAGCUGGGACUACAGGCAUGCACCACCAUACUUGGCUAAUUUUUAUUUUUUGUUGAGAUGACGUCUCACUUUGUUGCCCAGACUGGUGUCAAACUCCUGGCCCCAAGCUACCCUCCCACUGUGGUCUCCCAAAGUGCUGGGAUGAUAGGAGUGAGUCACCGCCCCCAGCCUGAAUGAUUCUCAUCAAGACUGGUGAUGGUGGCACCAAAAGACAGCUGGGGAUGACUCUUAGUUCACCGUGUGUAUUAAUUUCCUCUGGCUGCUGUAGCAAAUUACCACAGACUUUGGUGACUUAAAAUAACAGACAGUUAUGUUCGGAUGGGGCUGAGCUCCUGCCACAGGCUCUGGGGGAGAAUCUGUUCCUUGUCUCUUCCAGCUUCUGGCAGCUGCUGACAUCCCUUGGCUUGUGGCUGCAUCACUCCAGCGUCUGCCCCUUUCCAUGGCCACAUGGCCUUUCUUUCUUCCAUCUGUAGUCAAAUCUGCCUCUGCCUCUGUCUGUUUCUUAUAAGCAUACAUGUUAUGACAUUUAAGGCCCAGCUAGAUAAUUCAAAAUAAUCUCCCCAUCUCACGAUCUUCAGCUUCGUCGUAUCUGCAAACUCUUUGCGUAGAAGGUUACAUUUACGGGUCCCAGAGAUUAGGACCUGAUUUGUGGCCAUUAUUCGCUGUACGACACUAUCCACCUAGGCUGUGCUUUUGACUUCUCCUGGAAGUCCUGCUCUUGGCCCUUUCUGAGUCAUGGUCAGCAUGCCUUCCUUCCUGCUUCUCUGCCUCUUUAUCUUCCUCACCUCUACCUGCAGACCUGGCCUCAGCAAUGCUGUCAGUUUCCCCAAGAUCUGUGUCAGGCCCAGAGGCCCGGGCCACGUCCUGCUCCUUCCUGCUGCUUCUCUUUCUGCCCACUUGCCUCCUUCUCAAUAUUAAGUUGUAGGAAAUACCAAGUUUCUUUUCAAAAAUCUCCUGUGAUGCUCCCUUCUGCACAAAGACCUUGCAGUCCAGGCCCUUUCAGGCUGUCUGCUUUUUGUGACACUUGACUCAGACGUGCCUGGGCAUGCCUUGAGAUGUGGACUGCCAUUUACAUAUCUAAAAUGCCCCUUCCCCUUCUUCCGUAUUGGGUGAAAUACUGUACAUUCUGCAAGGUCUUGUUUAAGUGUCAAUUCUCUGAGACUUUCCUAAGCCCCUCCCCCUCCUCUUUUCCAUGCAGAAUCAAUUACAUCUCCCCUCUGUUCUUCCUUAGCGCUCUCUUUAUACUUGACUCAAAGCCUUCCCACAUUGCCUUGUUCUUUAUUGUGUCUCUGUCUCUCCUUGGUAGACUUUGAGGUUCAUGAGAACCAGGAAAAGGAUAUUUAUUCAUCUUUUUAAUUUUAACCUGACAUGUAACUCAC